rnacentral:rRNA from 1 species
AUUGAACGCUGGCGGCAUGCCUUACACAUGCAAGUCGAACGGUAACGGGCCUUCGGGUGCCGACGAGUGGCGCACGGGUGGGUAAUACAUCGGAACGUGCCCGAUCGUGGGGGAUAACGAGGCGAAAGCUUUGCUAAUACCGCAUACGAUCUACGGAUGACAGCAGGGGACCGCAAGGCCUUGCGCGGACGGAGCGGCCGAUGGCAGAUUAGGUAGUUGGUGGGAUAAAAGCUUACCAAGCCGACGAUCUGUAGCUGGUCUGAGAGGAUGAUCAGCCACACUGGGACUGAGACACGGCCCAGACUCCUACGGGAGGCAGCAGUGGGGAAUUUUGGACAAUGGGCGCAAGCCUGAUCCAGCCAUGCCGCGUGCAGGAUGAAGGCCUUCGGGUUGUAAACUGCUUUUGUACGGAACGAAAAGCCUUCUUUUAAUACAGGAGGGUCAUGACGGUACCGUAAGAAUAAGCACCGGCUAACUACGUG